rnacentral:rRNA from 1 species
GACGAACGCUGGCGGCGUGCCUAAUACAUGCAAGUAGAACGCUGAAGGAGGAGCUUGCUUCUCUGGACGAGUUGCGAACGGGUGAGUAACGCGUAGGUAACCUGCCUGGUAGCGGGGGAUAACUAUUGGAAACGAUAGCUAAUACCGCAUAAUAGCAGUUGUUGCAUGACAACUGUUUGAAAGGUGCAAUUGCACCACUACCAGAUGGACCUGCGUUGUAUUAGCUAGUUGGUGGGGUAACGGCUCACCAAGGCGACGAUACAUAGCCGACCUGAGAGGGUGAUCGGCCACACUGGGACUGAGACACGGCCCAGACUCCUACGGGAGGCAGCAGUAGGGAAUCUUCGGCAAUGGACGGAAGUCUGACCGAGCAACGCCGCGUGAGUGAAGAAGGUUUUCGGAUCGUAAAGCUCUGUUGUAAGAGAAGAACGAGUGUGAGAGUGGAAAGUUCACACUGUGACGGUAUCUUACCAAAAAGGGACGGCUAACUACGUG